AAGUGAAUUGAAUGGAGUAUUUAAGAAAUACAUCUAUUAGAAGAAGAGGCAAGGUGAAGAAUGGACAAAUGAAUGAAUGUGGAUUGAAUAAAAAAAUCUGAACUGUAUCAAAGAUGGAGAAGUCAAGAUGAGAGUUAAAUAGCAAGCCAAAUACAUGAAGGAAAAGUGAGUUGAGGUAAAACUGAGAAAGUUGUGGCUGGAUGGAAUUUAUGAGAUCCUGAACAAAAGAAAGGUUCAGCAGACAAAGAAACAACAGCUGGAGGCAGCUGAAUGUGACAGACUCCAUCUGCAUUCAGCACACCGUCUGCACGUAAGGAAAGCCUGCCUGUUCGAGCUUACUUUAAAUACAUAUCCCUGCAUCAAAGGAUAAACACAGAACCCAGUGAAAGCAAUCAAUAAGCACUAACACUCACAGUAAUGCCAUCCUGCUGGGUGUUGUCAAGCAAUCCUUUUCCAGACUGGUGGCAGAAUCCUGAAAGAGAAG